GGCUGCCACACCUUGCCCACCGGGGUCCUCCGCCACUCCUCAGCUGCCUCCUCUCGCUCUCCACCCAGCCGCCUACUCCCUCUCGCCCAGCGCAGACGGCCUCCUAGCCGCCACAGCCGCCGCCUCUUUCUCUUCCUCUUCCUCUCCCUCAGCGUAGCCCCUCCACCUCCCUCCUCCGUCGACGGCGCCUGGUUCAGAUCGGGCUCAGGUCGUCUCCGCUGGGUGGACAACGGGAAGCGGUGCGUCUCCUCCACCCUCUGGCUGCCACCGUCGACGGCCAGUCUUCACGGUUGGGCUGGAGGAGCAGGGGCAAGGGAGGCCUGCAGUGGGGGAAGGAGCAGCAAGGCCAGAGCCGAGGAGAAGCCGGCGGCGGCCGCAGUGCUCCCGUCUCGGUGAGCAGGCCAGCCCUGGUUCGUGAACGAGCCCAACCGUUCUUCCCUCCAGUCCGUGCUCGGUUCGUCUUCCCGUCCCCUUUCACCUUCGGACUCUUGUGGUAGCGCCCAACUCCUCUGAUGUGUGCUGAGGAACACCAGCUCGGAAUUUUUUCUUUCACGCUGCUGUCUAAAGCACCAGCUCGGUAUCUGCAGUGGGGAUGCAGUGGAGGACCGGUUUUUCAGAGAAAGAGAGAGAGAGAGAGAUGUAUGCAAAUCCAAGAAAAAGAGGAGAGUGGAGGUUGCCAAGGAAAAACGUGGAUCGAGUUUGUCGAGCAGGGAAUGGAGUUGAUUUGAUAUUAUCUUUUGCGCGCUCGAUUAAUGGCACUUGCAAGCUGAAAAGAAAAUAUCAUAAAGAGCCUUCUAAUUUUUGUCAUUAUUUCUCCUAAUAUAUUAACAGGUGUUUAGAUGACCACAUAGGAAAGAAUCAAUUGGUGAGAGGCUUAAUAAUAUAGUUAUAGCGCGUCAUACAUUUAUUUCCAGAAUUGGGAUAUGGAGCCUUAGGCUAACGCGCGUUGGCCACUCUGACCGUUGCGACUCAAAUGGACAGGUUCCAUAAAUAAUUGACAGACCUCAUGUAUUGGUGGUUAGUAAACCAAUUACUUAGAUUGACAGAUAAUUGAACAUCUUCAACAUCUAUCUCUUGGUUGUGUGUAUGUGUCUCUUAUGCCUCAUAUCAUUGUUGAGAAAAUAUUUUGAAUUUGCCCUUUGACGUCCCCUUUCAGUUUAUCAUAGCAUCAUUGUAGUUUAGUUUCAAAUGAAAUAAAUUGGCAUUUCGUUGUGACCAUGUGUUUCUGUUCUGUUUUUUAGUUUGUCAUGCGGCUGUUGAUUACAUAUGGUGAUACUGGUGCAAAGGGUGCCCUAAAAGAUGAUCAUGUUCUUGCAUCAGCGAAAUGUCAGGUUUCCACGAAAUACGGUUUCCACGAAAUACCCAACAAAUGCACUCGUCCAUCGUCCUGCUCUCAUUAGCUAUAUCAUUUCGAUGAAGAUUAAGAACCCUGCACAGCUAGAUGCUGCUCUGUCGUUUCUUACUAAUACAGUUUUAAGAAGCCUAUGGUGUAGUGAUCAGUUGGGAUCAUUUUCCCAAUAGCACCCAGUUAGAUCGUGUUUGGGGUGACCUCUCCUGACCUCCUCCCAGGUUCCCGGUCUGGAGUGGGAGGGGCGGAAGCCGGAGAGGCCAACCUCCCCUUCAGACGCAGGUUCUCUCCCUCUCCCCUCUGUGCCCUCUCUCUCUUCCCUGACCCUCUCGGUGGCCAGAGGUUUGGUUUUGGUUUUGCUCCUAGGAGAAGGAGGUUUGGUUUCGGUCCUACUCUACAUUCACUGCUGUUACCUGCACUUUGCUACUCAUGGAUGCUUUUUGUUUAUUUUUUAUGCAUGUGUGCUGUCGGUGACAGGAGAGCAAGUCCCUCAAGUUCAUGAGGAAUCCACUCUCAAUUUGUUAACACAGGGGUUCUCAACAGGAGAAGCACUCAAUAGGAGAAGCAGGAGCAGCCGAGCGUUCGCCUUCUCUCCCAGUCCCCUACUCACAGAGCUUCUCAUUUUGUUUUUGUAGAUUUGGUUUCUCUAUGUCUACAGGUUGUUUGAUGAAAAUCCAAAAAGGCUGACAUGAGAUAAUUAAUCUAUGCAAGUCAUGUGAUUUUAUUUUUCUAUAAUUUAGUUCCAGUCAGAGAUAACAAGUUGAGUAGUCCCAUUAUUUUUUUGCAAUUUAGGUAUUGAAGGAGAUCAGGAUGCUUUUAUUUGUAUUUACAUCAUGGGCUUUAUUAUAGAACAACCACAAUGGAGAAAAUUAUCGCAUAUCUUUUGGAUGUUUUGGAUUAAUUGGCUAUUACACAUGUUGGAAUGAAUUAGCAAGUACAGAAAUGAAUAACUGCAGCUCCUUCCCGAUUAGGUCGGGUUAAAUGCUUCCCGAAUACAAAUGGUCUCAGGAAAAAGGCAAAUAUGCAAUAAUUUUGUGUUUUUUCAAAGUAAGUAGAGUGGGUUACUACUAAACCAGAGGACAGGUAGUCGUGUCUUACUUCUGUAAAUAGAAAUCCAAUUGUCUCUUAUUAUGUGUAGGCAUAAAGUUGGAUUUUGGAUGCUUUGCAAGGCCUUCCUAUGUUGUUUUCCUAUUUAUUUUAUUUAUUGUGCUUCCCUUUUUUGGGCUACAAUGUACUGGGAGGUGAGGAAAUGAAAUUGAACUAUGUGUUUUCUUUUCAGGUAUAUUUGAAGUUAACGAGUUUCCAAUUCCUUGUUGUUGUUAAUGAUAUGAAAGUGCAACCGUGGUUUUUGCUCCCAGCUGAUGCAUACUACUUUGCUUGCAGCUAUCAUCAGCCAUUGUUGUUGGUACUGUCCCUUUUUGAGAACCAAAGAAAUACUGAGUUUUAGCUCAGAUGUGUGUUAGGUGAUGUUGCAUGCCAUUUUUGUUCAUCGGUCUGGCAUGAUUUGGAUUGGAUCACCUGCGGAGGCAGGUUUCAUCACCUCGGACAGAGGGAGUAUAUGAUGUAUAUGAUGUAUAUUAUCAUGUCAUUAGUGCAUUUUAUUGUGCCACCUACGUAUAUAGCUACUUGAAUCUUCUAAUUGCAAACUCAAACAUUUGCAUUU